rnacentral:lncRNA from 1 species
CUUCAACCUUGGAGGUCAAAGCACUAAUGCUAAGAUCCGUUUGGAAAUAAAAGUCAUCACAUAUCCCAUCAAGCCUCUCCUCUGUAGUUUCCAGAUCUCUAUAGAUCCCUUCUACCAACUGAUAUAUCUCUUCUCUGGUGUGGAAAUCUGGUUGAGACUUCAUCGUAUGUGGGCGUGGCAGACAGUUAUCGAACGAUGCUGUCAAGCGGUUGUCGAUCGAUGUGUGAUGGUGCCUGUCGAUUGAUGUAGGUGGUCUGAUGUCGAUCGAUGGAGGUCGAGCAACGUCGGUCGCAUGUUGAAUUCUGGCUAUGUCUUGCUUCAUCUCCUCCAUGCAAGUAGUUAGCCAACUGAUACUAUCAUUCAAUGGAUAGUAUACACCAUCAAGCUUUCAUCUGGAAAGCUUCUUUGUUCCUCUCAU